rnacentral:lncRNA from 1 species
AACUACCUCGCUAGCUUUCCGAAAUCCCAAUGUGUCGGUCCGUCUGUUUACUGGAUUUUCUCGAUCCGUGUUUCUAUCUUGAUUUAUUUCCCUGAUGAAGUUUUCCAAUAAUGGCCUGAACUGAACUAGCUAGCCUGACAGGCUUGGCUACGUGUACUUCAGAUUGUGCAUAUUCCAUGCAGGGUUUGAAAUUAAUUUAGUAUGUACUUUUAUACCGGGGGAACCGAAAUUAAUUGCAAACCCUCGUUACUUCCAUGUGUUCUCCUAUUCCCCACAAUCCCGAAUUUUUUCCAGAAUUUCCUUGAGAAUCUUCAUGUGUCCUGAG